rnacentral:lncRNA from 1 species
AACAAAAGCACAUCUAAUAACUCUUCAGAAUUCUCGUCUUCUUUGUCAGAAUGGUUGAUGCGAUCGUUUCCUCUCUCCUGGUGCAGCUGAGCUCAGUUGCAACUGAUGAAGUGAAACAACAGGUGAGGCUUGUGACUGGUGUCGAGGAAGAAGUGAAAAAGCUCACCCGCAAUCUUCGAGCCAUUCGAGCUGUGCUGGAAGAUGCAUUCUUUUCUUUUUCGGUCUACCAACUAGAGCCUUUAUGUCAGGUGGUCGAACCUUUACAGGCACCACAACAUCAGG